rnacentral:pre_miRNA from 1 species
UUUGUACUCCCUCCGUCCCAAAAUUCUUGUCUUAGAUUUGUCUAAAUACGGAUGUAUCAAGUCACAUUUUAGUAUUAGAUAUAUCCGUAUCUAGACAAAUCUAAGACAAGAAUUUUGGGACGGAGGGAGUAACAC